GGUCAAGCGAACAAGUGCAUGUGGUGGAUGCCUUGGCGAUCACAGGCGAUGAAGGACGCGGUAGCCUGCGAAAAGCCCCGGGGAGCUGGCAAACAAGCUUUGAUCCGGGGAUGUCCGAAUGGGGAAACCCACUCCGUAUGGAGUAUCCAUGACUGAAUACAUAGGUCAUGUGAAGCGAACGCGGUGAACUGAAACAUCUAAGUAACCGCAGGAAAAGAAAUCAACCGAGAUUCCCAAAGUAGUGGCGAGCGAAAUGGGAUGAGCCUUGUACUCUUUAUUCGUAUUGUUAGCCGAACGCUCUGGAAAGUGCGGCCAUAGCAGGUGAUAGCCCUGUAGGCGAAAACAGUAUGAAAGAACUAGGUGUACGACAAGUAGGGCGGGACACGUGAAAUCCUGUCUGAAGAUGGGGGGACCAUCCUCCAAGGCUAAAUACUCGUGAUCGACCGAUAGUGAACCAGUACCGUGAGGGAAAGGCGAAAAGAACCCCGGGAGGGGAGUGAAAUAGAUCCUGAAACCGCAUGCAUACAAACAGUCGGAGCCUCGUAAGGGGUGACGGCGUACCUUUUGUAUAAUGGGUCAGCGACUUACGUUCAGUAGCAAGCUUAACCGUAUAGGGCAGGCGUAGCGAAAGCGAGUCCGAAUAGGGCGUUCAGUUGCUGGGCGUAGACCCGAAACCAGGUGAUCUAUCCAUGGCCAGGAUGAAGGUGCGGUAACACGUACUGGAGGUCCGAACCCACUAACGUUGAAAAGUUAGGGGAUGAGCUGUGGAUAGGGGUGAAAGGCUAAACAAACCUGGAAAUAGCUGGUUCUCUCCGAAAACUAUUUAGGUAGUGCCUCGUGUCUCACCUUCGGGGGUAGAGCACUGUCAUGGUUGGGGGGUCUAUUGCAGAUUACCCCGCCAUAGCAAACUCCGAAUACCGAAGAGUGCAAUCACGGGAGACAGACAUCGGGUGCUAACGUCCGGUGUCAAGAGGGAAACAACCCAGACCGCCAGCUAAGGUCCCCAAAUAUGGCUAAGUGGGAAACGAAGUGGGAAGGCUAAAACAGUCAGGAGGUUGGCUUAGAAGCAGCCACCCUUUAAAGAAAGCGUAAUAGCUCACUGAUCGAGUCGUCCUGCGCGGAAGAUGUAACGGGGCUAAGCCAUAUACCGAAGCUGCGGAUGCGUGCUUGCACGCAUGGUAGGAGAGCGUUCCGUAAGCCUGCGAAGGUGCCUUGUAAAGGGUGCUGGAGGUAUCGGAAGUGCGAAUGCUGACAUGAGUAGCGAUAAAGGGGGUGAAAGGCCCCCUCGCCGUAAGCCCAAGGUUUCCUACGCAACGUUCAUCGGCGUAGGGUGAGUCGGCCCCUAAGGCGAGGCAGAAAUGCGUAGCUGAUGGGAAGCAGGUCAAUAUUCCUGCACCGUCGUUAGAUGCGAUGGGGGGACGGAUCGCGGAAGGUUGUCCGGGUGUUGGACGUCCCGGUCGCUGCAUUGGAGAAGGCGCUUAGGCAAAUCCGGGCGCAGGAUUCAAGGGUGUGGCGCGAGCGACUUCGGUCGCGAAGCAAUUGGAAGUGGUUCCAAGAAAAGCCUCUAAGCUUCAGUCUAACGAUGACCGUACCGCAAACCGACACAGGUGGGCGAGAUGAGUAUUCUAAGGCGCUUGAGAGAACUCGGGAGAAGGAACUCGGCAAAUUGGUACCGUAACUUCGGGAUAAGGUACGCCCUUGUAGCUUGACCAGCCUGCGCUGGAAGGGUGAAGGGGUUGCAAUAAACUGGUGGCUGCGACUGUUUAAUAAAAACACAGCACUCUGCAAACACGAAAGUGGACGUAUAGGGUGUGACGCCUGCCCGGUGCCGGAAGAUUAAAUGAUGGGGUGCAAGCUCUUGAUUGAAGUCCCGGUAAACGGCGGCCGUAACUAUAACGGUCCUAAGGUAGCGAAAUUCCUUGUCGGGUAAGUUCCGACCUGCACGAAUGGCGUAACGAUGGCCACACUGUCUCCUCCCGAGACUCAGCGAAGUUGAAGUGUUUGUGAUGAUGCAAUCUACCCGCGGCUAGACGGAAAGACCCCAUGAACCUUUACUGUAGCUUUGCAUUGGACUUUGAACCGAUCUGUGUAGGAUAGGUGGGAGGCUAUGAAACCGGAACGCUAGUUUCGGUGGAGCCGUCCUUGAAAUACCACCCUGGUUUGUUUGAGGUUCUAACCUUGGUCCGUGAUCCGGAUCGGGGACAGUGCAUGGUAGGCAGUUUGACUGGGGCGGUCUCCUCCCAAAGGGUAACGGAGGAGUACGAAGGUACGCUAGGUACGGUCGGAAAUCGUGCUGAUAGUGCAAUGGCAUAAGCGUGCUUAACUGCGAGACCGACAAGUCGAGCAGGUGCGAAAGCAGGUCAUAGUGAUCCGGUGGUUCUGUAUGGAAGGGCCAUCGCUCAACGGAUAAAAGGUACUCUGGGGAUAACAGGCUGAUACCGCCCAAGAGUUCAUAUCGACGGCGGUGUUUGGCACCUCGAUGUCGGCUCAUCUCAUCCUGGGGCUGUAGCCGGUCCCAAGGGUAUGGCUGUUCGCCAUUUAAAGAGGUACGUGAGCUGGGUUUAAAACGUCGUGAGACAGUUUGGUCCCUAUCUGCCGUGGGCGUUGGAUAUUUGAAGGGGGCUGCUCCUAGUACGAGAGGACCGGAGUGGACGAACCUCUGGUGUACCGGUUGUGACGCCAGUCGCAUCGCCGGGUAGCUAUGUUCGGAAGAGAUAACCGCUGAAAGCAUCUAAGCGGGAAACUCGCCUUAAGAUGAGAUAUCCCUGGAGGCUUGACCUCCUUGAAGGGUCGUUCGAGACCAGGACGUUGAUAGGUCGGGUGUGUAAGCGCAGUAAUGCGUUCAGCUAACCGAUACUAAUUGCCCGUAAGGCUUGAUCCU
rnacentral:rRNA from 1 species